UACGUAGGGUGCGAGCGUUAAUCGGAAUUACUGGGCGUAAAGCGUGCGCAGGCGGCGCGUUAAGACAGGUGUGAAAUCCCCGGGCUUAACCUGGGAACUGCAUUUGUGACUGCAUCGCUGGAGUGCGGCAGAGGGGGAUGGAAUUCCGCGUGUAGCAGUGAAAUGCGUAGAUAUGCGGAGGAACACCGAUGGCGAAGGCAAUCCCCUGGGCCUGCACUAACGCUCAUGCACGAAAGCGUGGGGAGCAAACAGG
rnacentral:rRNA from 1 species